GAACCUACUCACUUAAUAGAUUUUGCAAUUUUCAAGGUCAAUCAUACAGUGUACACGAUGACACUGAGGGGGCUUUCCAUCCCAGAUGUGAGUGUCUUUCCUCUUUUCCUAGGAGGAUCGGAGAACCAGUGUUGAUGAGACACAGGGUACUAGUGGGGUCUCAAGAGGAGGCAGCCCUUUGCCUGGAGCCAUAGCACCAAUCACAAAAGAGCUGGGCAGGACAUCUGUCAGCCAUUCAGCUAUUAGUUCUGUGAUUGGACAGAAGACACCAGUCUCCCCAGCACAUGCAGAAGGUGUGCUAUCCCCAGGAUCAACCAUGUUCUCAGUCCUGUCCCCCAUGGGUAGCCCAAGAACUGAGGAGAGCCAUAGCAAGCCUGGUGAGAAGGUGAGUACCUGCCGAUCCCUGCUGCAUAUUCUGCUCAUCCUCUUAAUUCCUC
rnacentral:lncRNA from 1 species